rnacentral:rRNA from 1 species
UACGAAGGGGGCUAGCGUUGCUCGGAAUCAUUGGGCGUAAAGGGCGCGUAGGCGGCCCCGUUGGUCAGGCGUGAAACCCCUGGGCUCAACCCAGGAACUGCGCUUGAUACGGCGGGGCUCGAGGAUGGAAGAGGGUCGCGGAAUUCCCAGUGUAGAGGUGAAAUUCGUAGAUAUUGGGAAGAACACCGGUGGCGAAGGCGGCGACCUGGUCCAUUACUGACGCUGAGGCGCGACAGCGUGGGGAGCAAACAGG